CACGUAGGGCGCAAGCGUUGUCCGGAAUUAUUGGGCGUAAAGAGCUCGUAGGCGGUCUGUUGCGUCGGCUGUGAAAUCCCGAGGCUCAACCUCGGGCCUGCAGCCGAUACGGGCAGACUAGAGUUCGGCAGGGGAGACUGGAAUUCCUGGUGUAGCGGUGAAAUGCGCAGAUAUCAGGAGGAACACCGGUGGCGAAGGCGGGGUC
rnacentral:rRNA from 1 species